rnacentral:rRNA from 1 species
GAUGAACGCUGGCGGCGUGCCUAAUACAUGCAAGUCGAGCGAACGGACGAGAAGCUUGCUUCUCUGACGUUAGCGGCGGACGGGUGAGUAACACGUGGAUAACCUACCUAUAAGACUGGGAUAACUUCGGGAAACCGUAUCUAAUACCGGAUAAUAUUUUGAACCGCAUUGUUCAAAAGUGAAAGACGGUCUUGCUGUCCCUUAUAGAUGGAUCCGCGCUGCAUUAGCUAGUUGGUAAGGUAACGGCUUACCAAGGCAACGAUGCAUAGCCGACCUGAGAGGGUGGUCGGCCACACUGGAACUGAGACACGGUCCAGACUCCUACGGGAGGCAGCAGUAGGGAAUCUUCCGCAAUGGGCGAAAGCCUGACGGAGCAACGCCGCGUGAGUGAUGAAGGUCUUCGGAUCGUAAAACUCUGUUAUUAGGGAAGAACAUAUGUGUAAGUAACUGUGCACAUCUUGACGGUACCUAAUCAGAAAGCCACGGCUAACUACGUG